rnacentral:sRNA from 1 species
GGUCGAACAAGAAAUUUCGUCGAAAAAGGCAACAACUCCAAAACCUUCAACAAAUGCAGUUUUAUCGACAAUUUCAUCUCAAAAAUCAUUGGAAAAAAAUGCAGCCGAUUGGAAAUUAACACAAACGGAUUUACCCACAAUGGGAGAAAAAGAUAUACAAAUGUUGACGACAAUUGUUCGAUCAUGGAAAAGUAAAAAAGAAAUAUCGAAUUCAAUGGUGACUGGAUGGCUGAAAGAUGUGAAUCAAUUGAAAAUGAACGCAGAUCAAGCGAGGAAAAAAUUGUACGGGGUUUUGGAAUUAUAAUAAAUUAAAAAAAAAAAAUUUUGCAAACAAAAUCACUCAAGAGAAAUUUUUAAAUUCCGCGUCAAAAAUUGGAAAUUUUACUGGAAAGCGUAUUUUAUUUUUAAUUUCAACAAAAAUUUGGCAACAUUUUUGGAGCAGAAUUCGAAAAUCGCAAAAAAAAAAUUUUUCAAAAAUUUUUUUUUUAAUUUUUCACAUUUUUUUAAGCCUAAAAACAAUAAAAUUUCAUUUUUAAAUUUUUUUGAAAAAGUACUAACGGUUCGGACGAUUUUGAACGUAUAGACCCAAAAUGAGCUCAAAUGAACGAAUUUCGUAAUGAAACUGCUCAAAAAAUUUUCAAAAAUUUUUUAUGGCGGUUCAAAAUUUUGAAAAAAUAACACUAAUUUUGGCUAAAACCACGAAUUUUUCCCAUUUUCCGGGGUCACAUUUGUUCGAAGUUGGAUUUUUUGGGAUUAUCAUCCUUUAUUGCAUAUUUGGCUAGUUUAUCUCAUUUAAUUUCGUUGAUUAAGGUACAUUUAAAGUCGACAUGUAACCAAUUUCGAUGAUUUUUGGUUACCUAUCGGCUUUAAAUGUACUUUAAUCGACGAAAUUAAAUUAAUAAAUUAGAUAAACUACCAAUAUAUGUAAUAAAAAACGAUAAUUCCAAAAAAGCCAACUUCGUACAGAUGUGACCCCGGAAAAAUGGGAAAAAAUUCGUGAUUUUAGCCAAAAUCAGUGUAAUUUUUUCAUAAUUUUGAACCGCCAUAAAAAAUUUUUGAAAAUUUUUUGAGCAGUUUUAUUACGAAAUUCGUUCAUUUGAGCUCAUUUUUGGUCUAUACGUUCAAAAUCGUCCGAACUGUUAGUCCACCUUUAAAAAAAAUUUAAAAAUGAAAUUUUAUUUUGUUUUUAGGCUUAAAAAAAUGUGAAAAAUUAAAAAAAAAAUUUUUUUGAAAUUUUUUUUUUUGCGAUUUUCAAAUUCUGCUCCAAAAAUGUUGCCAAAUUUUUGUUGAAAUUAAAAAUAAAAUACGCUUUUUGUCCAGUAAAAUGUCCAUUUUUUGACGCGGAAUUUGAAAAUUUCUCUUGAGUUUACCCCUGUUUGUUUGCCGGUUUGCACUUUUCCUACACUUUUUCGUCCGAUUUUACCUGGAGCAAAAAAUUGCGUAAAACUAUUGCUUUUUCUCGUAAAUUUUCCUAUUUUUAACUGGAAACCUAGUUUUGCCAACAAAGUUUUUCUGAAAAUUCCAAUUUUUGGUUAAAAAAAAAUUUUUUUUGUAAAAUUCUGAAACCUUUGUUCAAAAGCUAGUUUUCGGUGAAAUUGUCAAAAUUUAUUAUAUAUAUAUAUAAUUUCAAAAAUGUGUGAAAAAUUCCUUUUUUCCGUGAAUUUGCAAAUGUAUGCAGGGAAAAUUUGUUUUUUUUUCCUUAAAAUUUCCAAUUUUCGUUUAAAAAACUAGUUUUCCCCGUAAAAUUGUUACAAAUUUUGUAAAAAUUCUAAAAGUGGAGUAUCGAUAAUUGGAAAAUAUUUUUAAAUGGCUCUCUGAUUCCGAAUAUCUAUGUGAAAAAAUUCCAAAAAAUUUUGUCCUGAUUUUAUAUUUGAGCUUAAAAUCUCAGAAUCUCUUUUUUUUUUCGAAUUUGGCGCGAGAGUUGUCGAUUUACAAAAUUUUUAAUAAUUAUCGGAUGCUGAUUUCCGUUUUUUCAACGAUUUCCCUUCAUUUUCGUUCAGUUUUUUUUUCCAAAAUGUAGUUUUUAAGCUUAAUUAAAUAUAAUAUGUUAUCAAAAAUUUGCUCGUUUUUUGAUAAUAUAAUGUUUAAUUAAGCUUAAAAACGUUAAUUUUCAUUAAAAAAAAAACUUACCGACGAAAAUUAAGGAAACUCGUUGGAAAACGGAAACCAGCGCAUCCGAUAAUUAUUAAAAAUUUCGUAAAUCGACUCUGACGCCAAAAUUCGAAAAAAAAGAGAUUCUGCGAUUUUAAGCUGAAAUAUAAAAUCAGGGCAAUUUUUUUGAAUUUUUCCCAUCGAAAUUCGGAAUCAGGGAGUCAUUUAAAAAUAUUUUCCAAUUAUCGAUACUCCACCUUUAGAAUUUUUACAAAAUUUGACAAUUUUACGGGGAAAACUAGUUUUUUAAACAAAAAUUGGAAAUUUUAAGGAAAUAAAAAACAAAUUUUCCCUGCAUACAUUUGCAAAUUCACGGAAAAAAAGGAAUUUUCCACCACAUUUUUGAAAUUAUAUAUAUAUAUAUAUAAAUUUUGACAAUUUCACCGAAAACUAGCUUUUGAACAAAGGUUUCAGAAUUUUACAAAAAAAAAAAUUUUUUUAACCAAAAAUUGGAAUUUUCAGAAAAACUUUGUUGACAAAACUAGGUUUCCCGUUAAAAAUAGGAAAAUUUACGAGAAAAAGCAAUAGUUUUACGCAAUUUUUUGCUCCAGGUAAAAUCGGACGAAAAAGUGUAGGAAAAGUGCAAACCGGCAAACAAACAGGGGCAAACUCAAGAGAAAUUUUCAAAUUCCGCGUCAAAAAAUGGACAUUUUACUGGACAAAAAGUCGAAAUUCGGAAUCGGGGGGAAAUUUGGAGUCAUUUAAAAAUAUUUUCCAAAUUUCCUUUGAAUUCUCGAAAUUAUAUAUGAAAAUUAUAUUUAACAUUCUCAAUUUUUGCAGCUUCGACAUCAUAAAUACUUUGCCGGAUUCGUCUGAAAAAAAUGGUGGUGGUGGACAGCAAGAUGCCAACGAU